UGGCUCAGGAACCGACGCUGGCGGCGUGCCUAAUACAUGCAAGUCGAACGCUUCUUUUUCCACCGGAGCUUGCUCCACCGGAAAAAGAGGAGUGGCGAACGGGUGAGUAACACGUGGGUAACCUGCCCAUCAGAAGGGGAUAACACUUGGAAACAGGUGCUAAUACCGUAUAACAAUCGAAACCGCAUGGUUUUGAUUUGAAAGGCGCUUUCGGGUGUCGCUGAUGGAUGGACCCGCGGUGCAUUAGCUAGUUGGUGAGGUAACGGCUCACCAAGGCCACGAUGCAUAGCCGACCUGAGAGGGUGAUCGGCCACAUGGACUGAGACACGCCC
rnacentral:rRNA from 1 species